AACAACACCAUUGCAAAAAAAAGAGACGCCAGGUGGCGUUGGAGUCGAGUUAUUACUAAAAAUCGUGUUCAUGGUCCGAUUAUCCUCAGAUU